UACGAAGGGGGCUAGCGUUGCUCGGAAUUACUGGGCGUAAAGGGAGCGUAGGCGGACAUUUAAGUCAGGGGUGAAAUCCCAGAGCUCAACUCUGGAACUGCCUUUGAUACUGGGUGUCUUGAGUGUGAUAGAGGUAUGUGGAACUCCGAGUGUAGAGGUGAAAUUCGUAGAUAUUCGGAGGAACACCAGUGGCGAAGGCGACAUACUGGAUCAUUACUGACGCUGAGGCUCGAAAGCGUGGGGAGCAAACAGG
rnacentral:rRNA from 1 species